rnacentral:piRNA from 1 species
UGAUUCCAUUGUAUUGGCAUA